rnacentral:rRNA from 1 species
CGGGUGGUAAUGCCGGAUGCUCCAUCACACUGCAUGGUGUGUUGGGAAAGCCUUUGCGGCAUGGGAUGGGGUCGCGUCCUAUCAGCUUGAUGGCGGGGUAACGGCCCACCAUGGCUUCGACGGGUAGCCGGCCUGAGAGGGCGACCGGCCACAUUGGGACUGAGAUACGGCCCAGACUCCUACGGGAGGCAGCAGUGGGGAAUAUUGCACAAUGGGCGCAAGCCUGAUGCAGCGACGCCGCGUGAGGGAUGGAGGCCUUCGGGUUGUAAACCUCUUUUGUUAGGGAGCAAGGCAUUUUGUGUUGAGUGUACCUUUCGAAUAAGCACCGGCUAACUACGUGCCAGCAGCCGCGGUAAUACGUAGGGUGCAAGCGUUAUCCGGAAUUAUUGGGCGUAAAGGGCUCGUAGGCGGUUCGUCGCGUCCGGUGUGAAAGUCCAUCGCUUAACGGUGGAUCCGCGCCGGGUACGGGCGGGCUUGAGUGCGGUAGGGGAGACUGGAAUUCCCGGUGUAACGGUGGAAUGUGUAGAUAUCG